CCCAUCAGCUAGUUGGCGGGGUAACGGCCCACCAAGGCAGAGACGGGUAGGGGGUGUGAGAGCAUGGCCCCCCACAAUGGGACUGGAACACGGCCCAUACUCCUACGGGAGGCAGCAGCAGGGAAUAUUGCACAAUGGACGGAAGUCUGAUGCAGCGACGCCGCGUGGAUGAAGAAGGCCCUCGGGUUGUAAAAUCCUUUACAGGGGGAAGAGGAAGGACGGUACCCCUGGAACAAGUGUCGGCUAACUACGUGCCAGCAGCCGCGGUAAGACGUAGGACACAAGCGUUAUCCGGAUUUACUGGGCGUAAAGCGUCUGCAGGCGGACAGGUAAGUUGGGCGUGAAAGCUCCGGGCCCAACCCGGGAGAGGUCGUUCAAUACUGCGUGUCUAGAGGGUGUCAGAGGGGAGUGGAAUUUCCGGAGUAGCGGUAAAAUGCGCAGAGAUCGGAAAGAACACCAAUGGCGAAGGCAGCUCCCUGGGGCAACCCUGACGCUAAGAGACGAAAGCUAGGGGAGCGAACAGGAUUAGAGACCCUGGUAGUCCUAGCCCUAAACGAUGGAUGCUGGAUGUGGGGCCAUAGCGCUCCGUGUCGAAGCGAACGCGUUAAGCAUCCCGCCUGGGGACUACGGCCGCAAGGUUAAAACUCAAACGAAUUGACGGGACCCCGCACAAGCAGCGGAGCGUGUGGUUUAAUUCGAUGCUACACGAAGAACCUUACCUGGGUUUGACAUCUAGGUGGUAGUGAAGCGAAAGCGGAGCGACCCUUCGGGGAGCCUAGACAGGUGCUGCAUGGCUGUCGUCAGCUCGUGCCGUGAGGUGUCGGGUUAAGUCCCGUAACGAGCGCAACCCUUGCCCUCCGUUAUACGUGUCAGAGGGGACUGCCGGCGGUAAGCCGGAGGAAGGUGGGGAUGACGUCAAGUCAGCAUGGCCUUUAUAUCCAGGGCUACACACACGCUACAAUGGCCAGUACAAAGGGCAGCGAAGCCGCGAGGUGGAGCGAAUCCCAGCAAAGCUGGUCGUAGUUCGGAUUGCAGGCUGCAACCCGCCUGCAUGAAGCUGGAGUUGCUAGUAACCGCGCGUCAGCCAUAGUGCGGUGAAUACGUUCCC
rnacentral:rRNA from 1 species